UCAAGGAAUUUCUUGGAUUUACAAUGAAUCUCGAGAUAUACACAUUUGAAUCUCUUUAUUUUUUACCGAAUUAUCGAUCUUUUCGAACUCUUCAGUGCAUGAAGAGUAAAAAAGUCAUUAUUUACAUGGAGGGAAAAUGGCAGCGAUGUCGUCGGGUAUGUGUGAUUUUGGUGAAGAUUGUGAAGAAACGGCGAUAUAUUAUUUGAACGGCUGUGUUAAAAAAACCUUUCACCACCUCAGAUAUUUGGACUCUUAACUCUAAGGGUAUAGAUCUGCCCGAAAGUUAUUUAAUUCUAUCCAGAGCAGGUAUCGAUGUAAUCACAUUAGCACAGCUAAACAAGAAAAUUUGCCAAAGAAUCAGAUACGCGCUUGGUCUGUACUGGAAACGGGGCGAGAGAUAUUGUGUACAUCCCUUUCAUGGUUUAUCUAAAACGAAACCAGACUGAGGCAUCACACCAGUUUUGAGCCGGGAAUUUGGGCGUCUACAGCUAUCAGUCCCAAUAGAUGAAGACAGAGUUGAGCAGCUGACCUAUUCAACCAUUGCCUCAAUACCUCCACUUAAUCUUAGAGAUUGCACUGAAGUCAACGAUGUUAACAACAAUGCUAAUCCUGCUGAAGAAACCUCAGGCAGCAGAACAGUUUGACAGUGUCCAAGCAAUAGCCAAUGAACCAGAAUAAAUGGCUGUG